GACGAACGCUGGCGGCGUGCCUAAUACAUGCAAGUUGAGCGCUGAAGGUUGGUACUUGUACCAACUGGAUGAGCAGCGAACGGGUGAGUAACGCGUGGGGAAUCUGCCUUUGAGCGGGGGACAACAUUUGGAAACGAAUGCUAAUACCGCAUAAAAACUUUAAACACAAGUUUUAAGUUUGAAAGAUGCAAUUGCAUCACUCAAAGAUGAUCUCGCGUUGUAUUAGCUAGUUGGUGAGGUAAAGGCUCACCAAGGCGAUGAUACAUAGCCGACCUGAGAGGGUGAUCGGCCACAUUGGGGCUGAGACACGGCCCAAACUCCUACGGGAGGCAGCAGUAGGGAAUCUUCGGCAAUGGACGAAAGUCUGACCGAGCAACGCCGCGGGAGGGAAGAAGGUUUUCGGAUCGUAAAACUCUGUUGGUAGGGAAGAACGUUGGUGAGAGUGGAAAGCUCAUCAAGUGACGGUAACUACCCAGAAAGGGACGGCUAACUACGUG
rnacentral:rRNA from 1 species